rnacentral:rRNA from 1 species
CAGUAGCCACGGGAAUACGUAGGGUGCAAGCGUUGUCCGGAAUUAUUGGGCGUAAAGAGCUCGUAGGCGGUUUGUCGCGUCGGCUGUGAAAACAUGGGGCUCAACCCUGUGCCUGCAGCCGAUACGGGCAGACUAGAAUUCGGUAGGGGAGACUGGAAUUCCUGGUGUAGCGGUGGAAUGCGCAGAUAUCAGGAGGAACACCGGUGGCGAAGGCGGGUCUCUGGGCCGAUAUUGACGCUGAGGAGCGAAAGCGUGGGGAGCAAACAGGAUUAGAUACCCCUGUAGUCCUGUCUCUUAUACA